GCCCCGUUGGCUCAGUGGUAAAGCGUAUCACUAGUAAAAAAGCCCGUUCGACGAACUCGCUACAACAUGAUAAGAUCACUGGUUCGAUUCCAGUACGGGGCA